CCUACGGGUGGCUGCAGUGAGGAAUAUUGGUCAAUGGGAGAGAUCCUGAACCAGCCAAGCCGCGUGAGGGAAUACGGCCCUAUGGGUUGUAAACCUCUUUUGUCGGAGAACAAAACCCGGGACGUGUCCCGGACUGCGUGUAUCCGAAGAAAAAGCAGCGGCAAACUCCGUGCCAGCAGCCGCGGUAAUACGGAGUAGGCGAGCGUUAUCCGGAUUUAUUGGGUUAAAGGGUUGCGUAGGCGGUCCGUUAGGUCAGCGGUAAAAGUGCGGGGCUCAACCGCGUCGAGCCGAUGAAACUGGCAGACUUGAGUUGGCGAGAAGUACGCGGAAUGCGCGGUGUAGCGGUGAAAUGCAUAGAUAUUGCGCAGAACUCUGAUUGCGAAGGCAGCGUACCGGCGCCAGACUGACGCUGAGGCACGAAAGCGUGGGGAUCGAACAGGAUUAGAUACCCUUGUAGUC
rnacentral:rRNA from 1 species